UACGUAGGGUGCAAGCGUUAAUCGGAAUUACUGGGCGUAAAGGGCGCGUAGGCGGUGUGUCAAGUCAGGCGUGAAAGCCCCGGGCUCAACCUGGGAACAGCGCUUGAGACUGGCACGCUCGAGUUCGGGAGAGGAUGGUGGAAUUCCCAGUGUAGAGGUGAAAUUCGUAGAUAUUGGGAAGAACACCGAUGGCGAAGGCAGCCAUCUGGACCGACACUGACACUGAGGAGCGAAAGCCAGGGGAGCAAACGGG
rnacentral:rRNA from 1 species